rnacentral:lncRNA from 1 species
AAUAUCACUUGUCGAGCCCGGAAAUGAUUCCGGUAUAAAACUCUUCGCAGAAAUUUCAGCCAUUCUCUCUCUCUCUCUCUCUCUCUGAAACAGGGGAUGGUCAGUAUAGAUCUGCACUUUUUCAGUUCGAGCCAAGAAAUACUUGUUGUUUCUCCCUAUAACUUCAAGAUAGAAGAGAGACAGAUAAGUAUCGCGGCAUUGUUGUGCAGAGAAGGUCGAUCGAGAGAGAGGGGAGUGGGGGUGGAACAGAACUGGUAAGAGCGAAUGGAGCAAGUAAUGGGAGGAGAGAGUAAGUGAGAAGUGUGUUUUUAUAGCGAAAAUGCGAUGGAUUUACAGAGCGAUGGAUUUACGGAGCGUAA